rnacentral:rRNA from 1 species
GGACAAAAUAUGAUAUUACUUUACUAUAAGUGUUGUCCAAAUCUGGUGCCAAAGACUCGGUAACGCCAGAAACGCGAACGUUAGUCACAUUAACCAGGCGUAAAGGGUUCGUAGGCAGUUU